GGUGUGACGUGUGUAGAGUGCAGCUCCCGACCCUCCCUCCCUGUGAGAGAGAGUGUGUGUGUGUGUGUGUGUGUGUGUGGAGCCUCACGCCAGCGUCGCCUCCGCCUCCACGACGCCCACACGCGACCGCAAUACCUGGCCCUCCUGCACCACACGCGCCUCUACCACGGCAUAUACUGGAACACUACUGCAGGCGGCCCGUUCUCCAAGACACUGUGGAUAUACAUCAUGGUGUUUACUCUAUGGCCAUGACGAUACAUCUACCUUAAACCAAUUUCUUUCGAUGAAGGACCUUGUGCACUGAUUUAUUACAAAAAAGCUACAACACUCGCGUUUUGAACUGCCAGAGAAGAUAUAAUGAACAAUAAUAAUCAUGACUAACAGACACUCGUUCCUCUGGUAUAUAUCUAACAGUUACACUGGCAUAAUAUAAUAUAGGAGCUCUCUAAGGGAAGCGCUGAUCCUUGUUCAAAAUAUAAUGAAGUUACAGAGAAGAAAAUGGAGUUUGGGUGACCUGGUGUCUCCCGUGGGACUAUGACUCUCGCCCCCUAAUAUAUCAACACAUCCUUAGGUGGAUGACUUCAAACUCCCAGAGACGGACAAAAGCAACUUUCUGAUUUAGUUUGUGUGUGAGAAUGACAUGUGAAGUGCCAACAUGAAGUUCUUGUUCAGGAAGAAGUGCAAGCCUGGCAAGGGAGCCACGGAGAAGCCACCCUGGAUCGCCAUACAGAAGCCAGAAGAGGGUAGUCUGAGGAAGGUCGAGCCAGAGGAGGGUAGUCUGAGGAAGGUCGAGCAGAGGAAGAUAGUCUGAGGAAGGUCGAGCCAGAGGAAGGUGGUCUGAGGAAGGUCGAGCAGAGGAAGGUGGUCUGGGUGAAGGAGGCAGGUAAGAUAGUGACCACCUUGAGCCUUACCAUAUAGAGCCGGGCUCCAGAGUCUACCACUACUCAUGCCCCCGAGCGGGUCUUACUUCAUAAGAGAGAGAGGAAGAUCUCUUUAAAACACACUUUGUAAAACAGGUUAUACAUGAUUUGUAAAGCCAAUGUAUAAUAUGAUUUGUAAAACCAAUGAUUUUAUUGGAAUUAUAUGAUUUGUAAAAACCAA